rnacentral:rRNA from 1 species
UACGGAGGGUGCAAGCGUUAUCCGGAUUCACUGGGUUUAAAGGGAGCGUAGGUGGGUUGGUAAGUCAGUGGUGAAAUCCCCGAGCUUAACUUGGGAACUGCCAUUGAUACUAUCAGUCUUGAAUACUGUGGAGGUUAGCGGAAUAUGUCAUGUAGCGGUGAAAUGCUUAGAUAUGACAUAGAACACCUAUUGCGAAGGCAGCUUACUACGCAUAUAUUGACGCUGAGGCACGAAAGCGUGGGGAUCAAACAGG